rnacentral:rRNA from 1 species
UACGAGGGUCCCUAGCGUUGUUCGGAAUUAUUGGGCGUAAAGCGGGUGUAGGCGGUUAUUCAAGUCGGGUGUGAAAUCCCUGGGCUCAACCUAGGACGUGCAUUCGAUACUGUUUAACUUGAGUACGGGAGAAGGUAGUAGAAUUCCUGGUGUAGUGGUGAAAUACGUAGAUAUCAGGAGGAACAUCGGUGGCGAAGGCGGCUACCUGGCCCAGUACUGACGCUCAGACCCGAAAGCGUGGGGAUCAAACAGG